UUUAAAGCUGAGAUUUCCGGCUAAAAUCUUCAGAAAACGCAGCAAAGAGAGGAAAGCCGAGGAAAGACAGUAUCGCCCAAACCCUAACCCUAAAUCUCUGUAAAACCCUAACCCUAAUCGCUUCUCAAUCGUGGCUAUGUCGGGAUUUCAGGAGAAGCUGAAUAAUCGAGCGAAGGAUAUGAAGUCCUUCUUCAAGAGAGGGAUGAAGUUCGUCGAGGAAUCCUGCAAGAAGGGAUGGCUGAAGGUCAAGAAGAUCAAGGGCGGAUCGAGAUCUUCCGCACCUGGCGCACGUUAGCCCACACCACCGGGGGGGGAGGAGGGGCUAAGGUGCGCACGUCGGUUUUGGUGUAGAUGUCGUGGUUGGGGCUGGCGUUGGUUCGUGUAAAUCGUGUUUCCUUUUUCUCGGAUUGCUUUUUGUAAUGAUUUAAUUUAAAAUUUUCCUUUUCUUUUUUCCAUCCGCCCCCGGCUCACGCUAGCGACGACUGCUCGUGAUGGCUAACGUGCGCCCCACGGCGGGGCAGAGCUUGUCAUUAGGGUUGGUGUUGAUUCGUGUAAACCGUGUUUCUUUUUUUUUCUUUUUUAUAUAGGAUUGCUUUUUGUUUUUUUGAA